CUUUAUACCCGCUGAUACAGAUUUAAAUCAAAAGGAGGUUAUUGAUGCUUGUGGUGUUGUUCAAAGUGUUUCUUCUACCAUGAGCAUUACAAUGAAGAAUGACCAUGAGAUGAUCCCAAAGAAGGAUAUGACUAAAUUUCAGGUAUCUAUUCCUUGUUCAAGCAAAUAGUUUUACGUUUAUAAUUAAACCCGAAACUGCAACAACACCAUUGUCCAGCUGUGCUCAAAUAUGCCCGCCUCUGAUUACCUGCUACGUCUGCAAACCAUACUCCUUACGGAUCCUCAGGUUAGUGUGGUGGACUUUUGAUACUCGCAACAUGUUAAACUCUUGAUGGACUGGUUUACUAAUUGUUGUUGCGUAAACACAAGAAAAACUCAUGAAUCAGUUAACUUCUUGUUGAGUAGUUUUGAUCUAACGUUAUUUAAAAUGUCAAAAAUAUUUCCCCUUGUAUUAAGAUCAACGGUCUUUGUAUCUGCAAUUUGCAGGGUGCAGUAAAUUUUGCAUUAAUGAUGUCUCAAACGGAAGGAGGUUGUCCAGUUAACUUCAACACCAUCACUGACCUUUUUCUUCAGAAAAAUCUACUGCUUUCCUUUUGGAUGUGCUGAAGCCAAAUUUACCUGAGCAUGCUUUUCUGCAAACUAAGGUUCUGGAGAUCAAUUUAGUGACCUUUCCUAAAGUAGCUGAUGCGAUUUUAGCAAAUGAGAUGUUCAGCCACUAUGACUGGCCUCGUGUUGCUCAACUUUGUGAAAAGGCUGGACUUUUUAUCCAAGCCUUAAAGCAUCACUCAGAGUUGCUUGAUAUAAAACGUGUGAUUGUGAAAACGCAUGCUAUUGAGCCACAGGCCCUUGUUGAGUUCUUUGGCACUCUUUCUAGUGAUUGGGCUAUUGAGUGCAUGAAGGAUCUUUUGCUGGUCAACCUUAGAGGCAACCUGCAGAUAAUCGUUAAGGCUUGCAAGGAGUACUGCGAGCAACUUGGUGUUGAUGCAUGUAUGAAGCUCUUUGAGCAGUUUAAAUCAUACGAAGGGCUAUACUUUUUCCUAGGCUCAUAUUUGAGUAUGAGUGAGGAUCCUGAGAUUCACUUCAAGUACAUUGAAGCAGCUGCCAAGACUGGUCAAAUAAAGUAGGUUGAGCGUGUGACUAGAGAGUCUAACUUCUUUGAUGCUGAAAAGGCGAAGACCUGUUUGAUGGAAGCUAAGCUUCCUGAUGCCCGACCUUUGAUAAAUGUCUGCGACCGUUUCGGCUUUGUACCUGAUCUUACUCAUUACCCCUACACAAACAACAUGCUUCGUUACAUUGAACGUUACGUUCAGAAGGUGAACCCUGGGAAUGCUCCUUUAGUUGUCGGACAGUUGCUUGAUGAUGAAUGCCCUGAAGAUUUUAUAAAAAGCCUCAUUCUCUCUGUUCGUUCAUUGCUGCCUGUUGAACCCCUUGUCGAAGAAUGCGAGAAGAGAAAUCGACUCUGUCUCCUCGCUCAGUUCUUGGAGCAUCUAGUUAGCGAGGGAAGUCAAGAUGUGCAUGUCCAUAAUGCCUUGAGGAAAAUUAUCAUCGACAGUAACAAGAACCCCGAGCAUUUCCUUACCACCAACCCAUACUAAGUACUGCAGUUAUGACUUACAGAAGAUUUGCCAGAUAAAUGACUGAAGGCUAUGGACUCUAGUUUUAGGACUGCCUACGUGUAGUGUAACACACACAUAAAUAAUGGCAUUUUUGAUUACAACGACAAUUUUUUUGGUAAAUGAACAACUUUUGGAAAAAAAAAAAUUCUUUUGUAUCCAUAAACUCUGUCGUCAUCACUAACUAAAUAUAGUUGAGAUUCAAAAGCUGCAAAACUUCUCUCUGAAUAUAGUUGAGAUUCAACAAUCAUGAAUCAUAAGUGUAGCAUUAAGAAACAAAGAAAAAAACCUGUUAUGUUUUUAACCCUUGACCACAUUCAGAGAAUCAAUGUCACGCAAUGUUAAAGUCUCACGUGGACUGUGCUUGCAACCGUGUUGGGCUUAUUGUCUUUCAGCCCUAAAGGAGAUGAUGUCUGCAGCCCAACCUUCUCUACGGUAGCGUUUUGUUCACUUGCGUUAAAAGACACCAUGGAGGAAUUAAAGAGGAAAGUUUCUUAGCGAAACGAAAAAAUAAAAUAACCCGAAUUACCUGUUGCAGGUAGGACGGGACAGAUAGGGUAUGCAGACAAUUUUAAGGAAUUCAGAUCUUAAAUCUUAUCUGUUGGAUCCAUAAUUUUACUAUCCUUAUCCGGAUCUGGGGUUCUCGGAUAUCCGGACGUCGAAUAUCCUUCUAAAAAUUGUAAUAUCCGGCGAAUAUCCGGAUUCAGAUCUAGAUCCUUAAAAUAAAUAAAAAUAAUAAUAUUAAUACA